rnacentral:rRNA from 1 species
ACCAUUAGCUAGUUGGUGGGGUAAGGGCCCACCAAGGCGACGAUGGUUAGCGGGUCUGAGAGGAUGAUCCGCCACACUGGAACUGAAACACGGCCCAGACUCCUACGGGAGGCAGCAGUAGGGAAUCUUCCGCAAUGGACGAAAGUCUGACGGAGCAACGCCGCGUGAGUGAUGAAGGUUUUCGGAUCGUAAAGCUCUGUUGUUAGGGAAGAACAAGUACCGUUCGAAUAGGGCGGUACCUUGACGGUACCUAACCAGAAAGCCACGGCUAACUACGUGCCAGCAGCCGCGGUAAUACGUAGGUGGCAAGCGUUGUCCGGAAUUAUUGGGCGUAAAGGGCUCGCAGGCGGUUUCUUAAGUCUGAUGUGAAAGCCCCCGGCUCAACCGGGGAGGGUCAUUGGAAACUGGGGAACUUGAGUGCAGAAGAGGAGAGUGGAAUUCCACGUGUAGCGGUGAAAUGCGUAGAGAUGUGGAGGAACACCAGUGGCGAAGGCGACUCUCUGGUCUGUAACUGACGCUGAGGAGCGAAAGCGUGGGGAG